GGCCCUGUGGUGUAAUGGUUAGCGUCCUCUAUUCUUGACAUGCUUGACAAUUCUUGUGAGGAAGUUCUCUGUUCAAUUCAGGGUGGGGCCA